CCCCAGAGUCUGCCCCUGGGGCUGGAGCGGGCGCUCGGAAGCGGGAGAGUGCCCAGCUGCAAGGCAGGGAGGCCAGGGAGGGUCGGUACCGAGUGCCCCGGGCUGGGGGAAUGUUGCAGACCUUUGGCCAGGCGGUGCUGGCUGGUUGUAUUGCCAGGGCUGGGUCUGACCGGCUCUGGCUGCCUGCCUGGCACAAUCCCUAAGGCACGGCUGGGAGAGAAUGGAUGGGUAACCUGGCUAGGUCCCUGCGAGGGGUGGGGAUGCUGGUUCAUUCUCGAAACCCUCCUCGAGUGCUGGGUGCGGGUGCCAUGAAGCAGGUUGAACCCUAAAGAUGUCUGACCCUGGUGAGAGCCUUUUCUCAGGGUAUACAAACACUGUGGUUAAAACGCGCUGAAGGUGGGCCAUCACCCAACAACUUGUGGGAUCCAGAGCAGGGGCAAAACCGUGCUAAACCAUGUGCCUUAGCACCACAUCUACAAGCCUUCUGCACACCUCAAAGGAUGGUGACUCAACCACCUCCCUGGGCAGACCAUUCCAAUGUGUGGUAACACUUCCAGUCAAGAAGUUUUUUCUAAUAGGUUAUUCAAAGCACACUGACAGCAGAACCCCCACCAGUCUCACCCUGAUGUCCUUCUGAGCAUGUAAACCCAGGGCAUUGUGGCCAUUCUCCAACAGAGAAAUGGUUUUUCAUCUGACAUGUUUUUCUUACAAGCAUCACAGUGACCUCCCCAGUCAGAAGAAGCAGAUCAGCCCCAACUUUUAAACAUGUGCUGAGCAUAAUAAUGUGCAUUUACUCUCCAAGGAAAUCCUGUGGUCUUGACCAGCAGCAGAAGGCUCUGUGAGGAUAAGCAGACUUAAUCAGCACUUGAAAUGGC